rnacentral:rRNA from 1 species
AGAGUUUGAUCCUGAGCUCAGGAUAAACGCUGGCGGCGCACAUAAGACAUGCAAGUCGAACGGACUUAACCAUUAGUUUACUAUUGGAGCGGUUAGUGGCGGACUGGUGAGUAACACGUAAGCAACCUGCCUAUCAGAGGGGAACAACAGUUACAAAUGACUGCUAAUACCGCAUAUGCCAUAAUCACCACAUGGUGAUAGUGGGAAAGGAGCAAUCCGCUGAUAGAUGGGCUUGCGUCUGAUUAGAUAGUUGGUGGGGUAACGGCCUACCAAGUCGACGAUCAGUAGCCGGACUGGGAGGUUGAACGGCCACAUUGGGACUGAGAUACGGACCAGACUCCUACGGGAGGCAGCAGUCGGGAAUAUUGCGCAAUGGAGGAAACUCUGACGCAGUGACGCCGCGUGCAGGAAGAAGGUUUUCGGAUUGUAUACUGCUUUACACAGGGAAGAUAGAAGACAGUACCUGUACAAUAAGCUCCGGCUAACUACGUGCCAGCAGCCGCGGUAAUACGUAGGGAGCGAGCGUCAUCCGGAUUUAUUGGGUGUAAAGGGUGCGUACACGGGAUAAUAACUUACUUGUGAAAUCCCUCGGAUUAACUGAUGAACUGCAAGUAAGCCUGCUCUUCUUGAGUACUGGACAGGAAAGUGGAAUCCCUAUUGUACCGGUGAAAUGCGUAGAUAUUAGGAGGAACACCAGUGGCGAAGGCGACUUUCUGGACAGAAACUGACGUUGAGGCACGAAAGUGUGGGGAGCAAACAGGAUUAGAUACCCUGGUAGUCCACACCGUAAACGAUGGAUACUAGGUGUAGGAUGUGAUAAACAUUCUGUGCCGUCGCAAACGCAAUAAGUAUCCCACCUGGGGAGUACGGCCGCAAGGUUGAAACUCAAAGGAAUUGACGGGGGCCCGCACAAGCAGUGGAGUAUGUGGUUUAAUUCGACGCAACGCGAAGAACCUUACCAGGGCUUGACAUAUACAGGAAUAAUUAAGAGACUAAUUAGCUCUUCGGAGUCUGUAUACAGGUGGUGCAUGGUUGUCGUCAGCUCGUGUCGUGAGAUGUUGGGUUAAGUCCCGCAACGAGCGCAACCCCUGUCCUUAGUUGCUAACAGUAAGAUGAGAACUCUAAGGAGACUGCCGGUGAUAAAUCGGAGGAAGGUGGGGACGACGUCAAAUCAUCAUGCCCUUUAUGUCCUGGGCUACACACGUACUACAAUGGCUAUAACAAAGAGAGGCGAUAUAGCGAUAUGGAGCAAAACUCCAAAAGUAGUCUCAGUUCGGAUUGUAGGCUGAGAUUCGCCUACAUGAAGCCGGAAUUGCUAGUAAUGGCAGGUCAGCAUACUGCCGUGAAUACGUUCC